CACCACCCCCGCUCCAUGCGCCUGCACAAGGGGGCCAGCCACACUGCCAGCCAUGAGGACAUCAGGGACAUCCGCAGUAUGACCACCCUACAGGACGGCCAGGGUAGUAACCCCAGCAGCAGUAACAGCAGUCAGGACUCUCUGAACAAGGCAGCCAAGAAGAAGAGCAUCAAGUCCUCCAUCGGGCGCCUCUUCGGCAAGAAGGAGAAGGGUCGGCCAGGCCCCCCAGGGAGCAAGGAGUCCCCUGGCAGCCAAGCUGGUACCCCCGAGGCAGAGACCUCUCCCCAGGAUGCACCGGGGCUGGGCAAACUAGGCGGCCCCGCUGAGAAGAACAGGAAACUGCAGAAGAAUCCAACGACAGGGCAUGAGUUGCUGGAGGAGGCUCGCAGGCAGAGUCUUCCCUUCGCCCAGUGGGACGGCCCUACUGUAGUGGUCUGGCUGGAGCUGUGGGUGGGUAUGCCAGCCUGGUACGUGGCGGCGUGUCGUGCCAAUGUGAAGAGUGGUGCCAUCAUGUCUGCCCUGUCGGACACAGAGAUCCAGAGGGAGAUUGGCAUCAGUAACCCCCUGCACCGCCUCAAACUGAGACUGGCCAUCCAGGAGAUCAUGUCUCUCACCUCCCCCUCUGCCCCCCCGACCUCCAGAACCUCCACGGGGAACGUGUGGGUUACGCACGAAGAGUUGGAGUGCCUUGCGGCCACGCCCUCCACGGAGGAUGACGAGGGCAGCUGGGCCCAGACGCUGGCAUAUGGAGACAUGAACCAUGAGUGGAUUGGUAACGAGUGGCUGCCCAGCCUGGGUCUGCCCCAGUACCGGUCCUACUUCAUGGAGUCCCUGGUAGACGCACGCAUGCUGGAUCACCUCACCAAGAAGGACAUGAGGGGACAGCUUAAAAUGGUGGACAGUUUCCACAGGAACAGUUUCCAGUGUGGGGUUAUGUGUCUGAGGAGACUGAACUACGACAGGAAGGAGCUGGAGAGGAGGCGUGACGAGACCCAGCUUGAGCUGCAAGACGUGCUGGUGUGGAGCAACGAGCGUGUGAUCAGCUGGGUACAGGCCAUGGGGCUGAAGGAGUACAGUAACAACCUGCUGGAGAGCGGCGUGCACGGAGCCCUGCUGGCCCUGGAUGAAACCUUCGACCACAACGCCCUGGCCCUGCUGCUGCAGAUCCCCACGCAGAACACACAGGCGAGAGCGGCUCUGGAGAGUGAGUACAACAGUCUACUGUCCAUCGGUACAGAGAGGAAACUGGAUGAGGAGGACGAUAACAAUUUCCGGCGCGCCCCUCCUGGAGGAAGAAGUUCCGGCCCAAAGACGCACGGGGGAUGUCCCCGGGCUCAGCCGACACCCUGCCCGCCAACUUCAGACUGACCAAUAGCAACGCAGCGUCCCCCUCCACGCAGCCAAAAAGGAGUCACAUGGACGGUGACUGCUGGUUGGAGGAUGAGGGUUGAGUCCCCCCCCCCAUCAGGAGCAGCUGCUGACCCUGCAAGGACACAGAGUUUUAUUGUUAUCACAGCGAUAAAAGAAGUAGCAACCACAUCACCAAUCUCCGUACUAGAGGGCCCGUGUCAUAGAUGUAUCAAUCUUUAUUGUUCUAUUUAUAUUAGCAAGCUGGUGGGACAUGAUUUUAGAUUUGUUAUGUAUCUAUCUGUUACUUCACCCGUCUCUCCCGGCUAAAUGGAAAUGUCCCUAUUUUCAAAAAUACUGUUCCAACUGUGUCCUUAUCAAGGUUAACUCUCAGAUGUAACUGAAUGUUUUUAGAUGGUCUGGAGUUUGUAUAUUUUUUCAACAGACAUUAUCUAAUCAUUUUAUUUAUAUAUAUAUAUAUUCCUGAUCUUGUAUUGACCAGAUGUAUGUUUUUAUUUCUCUGUCCUCUGUUGUUUUUAAUCAUUGAACUGAUGAUCAAGUGACUUAAAUAAGUGACUUUCUAUCUGAAUUGGACCCCAUUUCCCUUCGACCCCAGCCUGUUAUCUUCAAGCGUAUCCAUGGUGAUUAUUUGUAAAUGCAGCUCUUAUAGGACAAUGAGAAUAUGUGAAUAUCAGAAAUAUUGCUGGAGUUAUAUAUAUAUCUGACUGACAUUGUUUCACCAACUGCUACAACGCUGUGGUCGCUAAGCACCGGGCGGACCGUAACCACAACAAGGCCCUAGGUAACUGUGACGACAGGUGACACGUGAAACAACUCUUGGUUCUUUCCUGUGAAACCAAACCUGUAGAAAGACUGAAACAAAAGCCAUAAACAGUAGUGAUGACCAGGGCUGUUUUCAGAUGCAUCGCUUGGUAAGAGACCGUUCCACUGUGUAGGAUCUCCCAUUCUCCAGUCAACCUCGCAUGCCCAAACUCUCCAUUCCUCUUUUCCUCCUCCUCCUCAUCCCUCUCUUUUCCCUGCCUUCCCCCUGGAGCGCGCUAACGGGAGGCCAGACGUGCGUGAAGAUCAACUCGCUUGUACCUGAGCCGACAGCGUGGCGGCUCUACUAUCGACGGACCAAGUCCACUGUGGCCUAAACUGAUCCCAGCGACUAGCUUACUCACCCGAGGUGGAGCGAUCUACCCACAAACCUUUAACCAACUCUUUUUACUACGGACACUUCUAAUCCAGCCUGAUGGGAGGUUUUUUCUUACCUUAUUUUCUCUGGCUUGUCUUAUUUAUUCGUCAUCUCCGUCGUGUUUGUUGCUUUCUCAGUUUGAUUUUUAGGAGUUGCCAUUUUUUUAAAGCUGUUUCUGAGUGUUUUAACACAGGUUGCCGUGGCAAUACUUUUUCAAGACAGAUAAUGUCACGGAAGCAAAGACUUCCUGUCCACAUUAGUUAUGUUAUUCCCUUUGUGAUUUAGUCAUUUUAUAAUGCACAAUGCAAAUGCUAUUAUUAUUAUUAUUAUUGUUUUGUUUUUUUAAUCUUCAGUUUUCCCCAUUUUAUUCUCCUGCUCUGGUAACAAGAUGAUGUACAGUCUGAGUACUUAACUAUUUUAUCACAGUAUUAUUUAUGGAUUUACUUUCAAUAAAAUACUGAAACUUAUUUUCCACUGCCAAUAAAAAGCUUAAGUCUUUGUGUUUUUAAAGCA